rnacentral:rRNA from 1 species
GACGAACGCUGGCGGCGUGCUUAACACAUGCAAGUCGAACGGAAAGGCCCUGCUUUUGUGGGGUGCUCGAGUGGCGAACGGGUGAGUAACACGUGAGUAACCUGCCCUUGACUUUGGGAUAACUUCAGGAAACUGGGGCUAAUACCGGAUAGGAGCUCCUGCUGCAUGGUGGGGGUUGGAAAGUUUCGGCGGUUGGGGAUGGACUCGCGGCUUAUCAGCUUGUUGGUGGGGUAGUGGCUUACCAAGGCUUUGACGGGUAGCCGGCCUGAGAGGGUGACCGGCCACAUUAGGACUAGGAUACGGCACAGAGUCAUACGGGAGGCAGCAGUGGGGAAUAUUGCACAAUGGGAGGAAGCAUGAUGCAGCAACGCCGCGUGCGGGAUGCCGGCAUUCGGGUUGUAAACAGCUUUCGCCUGUGACGAAGCGUGAGUGACGGUAAUGGGUAAAGAAGCACCGGCUAACUACGUG